CACAUUUUUUAAAAAUAGAUUCAAAACACCCUUUUUUCCUAUACUGAAUCAAGCCCUGUUUGGGAAUUUGGUUGCUCAAUUAUAAUUUCUAAUCAGUUUUGGCUUGAUACUAUCUCCCUGAUCUCUUCACAUCCUUAUUAUUCUUAUCAAAUAGAAUUCCCAAUCAUGCAAAAUUAUGAGUAAGGGAUUUGGUGCUGACAGCAAAAGGAAGAACCAUAAAUGUUAAACACAGAUAUAAAAUAUCUGUUCUAAAGUAGCAGGAAUAAAUAUUCUUUUAUUUGUAGCUUAAGAUAUUCAUAGCUGUCCUUUUGGCUUUCCUUUUAUAUUUGUAUGACUUUUGUACCCUAAGCAUGAAAUUAAAUCCUAAAAUGCUUUUUUAGUAUUAUCAUAGGCCCAUUAAACCUUAACUGUGUUAAGAAAGAGAUACUGUGAUUGGGCUAUCACCAUUCCUUUUAGACUACUGAAGAUACUGCUUCAUUUUUGUGUUUCGUAAAGUACUACUCUUGCUCUGUGUUCCACAAAUGGAAUGGAAAGUACAGUGCUGAGCUUUCUACCUCAUAUAUGUAUUUUUACUUCUAAAACUUUAAGGAUUAAUGAUGACUUUUUGUUGAAAUAUAUUAAUUCAUUAUGUUUUUUAAAGCAUGCAUUUUACUUUAGUAUUUUAAUUGAUUGCAAGCUUACUUUAAUCUGUAAUUUCGUAUUUCUGUUAGAUACAAUAGUGUAUUUGAAUGCCUUAGAGUUACUAGAUGUUCCUGAUGUUAUUUAUAAAAAAUCAUAGCAGGACUUCUUACUUUUACAAUUAAUUUUUUCACUCACUAUAUAAUGUUAAAGCUUUCACAGAGCAUUGUCCUUGAAUUGGAAAAAAGCAGACCUACGUUAAUUAUCCCACAUUUUAGGGUUUCAGAAAGUAAAUUUUAGUACUGGAAAAAAUCAAUUUAAAGUAGGCCAUCAGAGACUUACCACUAAAAUUUCAACCUGGAAGGAGCUUGCUUCUAAUUAUGUUUUCAGAAGUAAGCUUUUAAUAGAAAGAAAUACAUUGCCAUUUUGUUAAUGUGUUCCUGAUGUUUUAUCCAUUGAAUUACGGGAUACAUGACAGAAUUCCAUCCAACGUUAUUAUUGUGGCACAAAGCACAAACAGGAAAAAAAUGAAUUUCAGCUGUUUGAGUGAAAAUGUAAAAGUGUGAUAGGAUGGAAAGAAUGUCCUGGACUAUUUUUUAUUCAUUUAGAGAAAAAAAAACUGUAAAAACAUUUACUUAACCAAUCUUUUUUCCAUAUCACCUUUUUGAAGAUGCAAGGACAAUCUGUCAACAUUGUUGUUUCAUAGCUAAAUGCUUAACAAUGUGGGACAUUUUUAGUUACCAUUUAGCCAUAGCUCAUAAAAGAGAGGGUCUUCUUUUUGCUACUUACAAAUUUUUCUUUACUGGGACAUUUAAGUCAAUUCAGUAAGUCUGUAUGUUUUGCAUUAAAACCCAGGUUUUUAAUUUAUGGCUUUGCCUUGGAGAAUUACAGUGGAAAUAUACAGCAAACAAACUUUUCAUGUAUUCGUUUUCUUUGGCAUUUGUUGCCCCUGAAUUUUAUACUGUUCUUCUGUAUUCUAAUUAUUUUUAUAAAAUCAGGAAAUGGAAAUGUGAAUAUUUUUUCCACACAGGGAAAUUAAUUGAAUGAACUUCUAACUUAUUCAUUUUUAUUAAUGUAUUCAUGAGAUCCUGAGAAUAAGUACACUUGAUCACCAUCAAAUGGAAGGGACUUAGUUAUUUUUUGUUUUGGAUUACAAACAACUUUCUUUACCUGUCUCUUCGGCACGAACAGCUGAAUCCAUCUUUCAAAUGCAUCCCAACAAUAUUUUGCCUCUAUUGAUAAAAACAUUUUAAAGCAUUUGGUGGUUGGUGGAAAACAUAAAAAGGGAUAAAAACAUUAUCCCUGCUGUCUUGCUUAUAGGGAACAGAAUUAUUUUUAAAUAUGAAUUUUAAUAAAAGGAGAUUUCCCAAGUGUACUGCUAUGACAGUGCUAAUUUAUAUUGCAACUGAUUUUUAUUGUAAACAAGACCGAAGUUUUUGGCUCAAUUCAUUUAAUAUUAAGAAGUUUUAGUUGGAUUUUGAUAUGCUGUUACAUAAUAGGUCUGGAAGCAUC